UCUGGUGGUCUGAGCGGGGUGAUCAGAACCCGAUCCCAUCUCGAACUCGGCCGUUAACCGCCCCAGCGCCCAUGGUACUGUGUCUCAAGAU
rnacentral:rRNA from 1 species